UGGGGAAUAUUGCACAAUGGGCGCAAGCCUGAUGCAGCCAUGCCGCGUGUAUGAAGAAGGCCUUCGGGUUGUAAAGUACUUUCAGCGGGGAGGAAGGGAGUAAAGUUAAUACCUUUGCUCAUUGACGUUACCCGCAGAAGAAGCACCGGCUAACUCCGUGCCAGCAGCCGCGGUAAUACGGAGGGUGCAAGCGUUAAUCGGAAUUACUGGGCUUAAAGCGCACGCAGGCGGUUUGUUAAGUCAGAUGUGAAAUCCCCGGGCUCAACCUGGGAACUGCAUCUGAUACUGGCAAGCUUGAGUCUCGUAGAGGGGGGUAGAAUUCCAGGUGUAGCGGUGAAAUGCGUAGAGAUCUGGAGGAAUACCGGUGGCGAAGGCGGCCCCCUGGACGAAGACUGACGCUCAGGUGCGAAAGCGUGGGGAGCAAACAGG
rnacentral:rRNA from 1 species